CGAUCUCCUGACCUCGUGAUCCACCUGCCUCAGCCUCCCAAAGUGCUGGGAUUACAAGUGUGAGCCACCACACCCACUCGGCACCUGGACUGCGGGAAAGCCACAGCUAGUCCCAGACCCUCCCCAUGAAGCCAGAGCCUUUGGCUUCUCCAGAGCUCAGAGGCGCUGCAGGGCUGGCUUUGUAAGUGCUGUGCCCGUAGCCAGGCUGGCGGGAAGAGACACAGCUGAAGCAGGUGAUGCCCACCAUGUGGGGGACAGGGUGGGGUGAGCAUAGCACAAUGCUGGAGACGUCCAGACCUGGCACCACUUAGAACCUGGAGGCCUGUGUUAGGAGGUGACGGCCCCCUCCUGGCUGAGCACUGCUAGGCACAGAGCUGGCUUGUCACACUGGUGUGAGUGGGGGGCCGUACCCCUCGGACAGCAGGAGCUCGUGGGCAGCCCCCUGCCACCCUGAGCUUGCCGUCUGCGGGAAAAGGCAGUUUCCAUUGCACAUGCCAGCAGCACGGCCCUGCCCUUCUGCCUGCUCCCAGACCUGGCUGUGCCACUGUGCCCUGCCCCUUCCCACAUCCCCCGGGACCCACCAGCCUCCGCCACCAUGGGUGCAGCCAGGACCACUCUGAUAUGCCCCAUCCGUGUGUCUUCUGAAACCCGCACAGAGGGAUACAGCUGGCCCCUGCCGGCGGCCUCCCACCCAGGAACACACUCGGGUGAGUUCCCAGGAGCUGUCGGCCGACUCGGGGCAGCUGGCACCACAGGUCCACAGCCCCAGGGCCACCUGACAGUAAGGACACUGUGGCCCCGAUGCCUGCCCAGUCCAGAAGGCGCCCUCGUCCAGCACCCAGCCCACUUCGCACUCGCCGCAGUCUCUGUUGGUCGGGCCCGAGCACGUCUUGCAGGACUCGUCGCAGGCUGGAAGGCAAAGGCGGGCCCGGGUACGAACCCCACUCUCAGCAAAUCAGGACUCCAAGGAAUUUUUAAUAACCUGGAGAAGGCAGCUAUCCGUACUCUGGAGCUGUAGCCUGGCUGGGUGUGCGUGUUCCGGAUCCACACGUGCCCCAUGCCAUGCCAACAUCCAAGAGACAGACGGCAAGGGGUGUAAGAACCAGAGAGGCGGGUCCUGACUGGCGAUCCACAGGUCUGUCUGCCCAGAAUAGCCUAGGGGGCUACCGGCCAACCAUGCACUCAUGUCCAGGACGUCAACACACCCAGAGUUUUCCUACAUAUCAGUGGCAACCAGGGAGAAAACGUCCUUUGGAAAGAUGCCACUCAUAAUGGCCUGCAGGGAUUGGACAGGUGCUGCUCUCCGGGCCGGUGCACGGCUCACAUGGUACCUCCAGGACCUGUGCACUGCGUGGCCCAUCACAACUCAAGGUCGGGGCAGACCUCGAACUAGAGAGGAAGGCAGGCAGCUCCAGCGGCUGUUGUCAUCCUGCCUCACCCCAGGGCCGGCCCAGGCGUAGCCCGUACCUGUGCAGACGCUGUGGGUCUCGUUCC